AGUGAACGCUGGCGGUAGGCCUAACACAUGCAAGUCGAACGGCAGCACAGGAGAGCUUGCUCUCUGGGUGGCGAGUGGCGGACGGGUGAGGAAUACAUCGGAAUCUACUCUGUCGUGGGGGAUAACGUAGGGAAACUUACGCUAAUACCGCAUACGACCUACGGGUGAAAGCAGGGGACCUUCGGGCCUUGCGCGAUUGAAUGAGCCGAUGUCGGAUUAGCUAGUUGGCGGGGUAAAGGCCCACCAAGGCGACGAUCCGUAGCUGGUCUGAGAGGGUGAUCAGCCACACGGGGACUGAGAGACGGUCCAGACGCCUACGGGAGGCAGCAGUGGGGAAUAGUGGACAAUGGGCGCAAGCCUGAUUCAGCCAUACCGCGUGGGUGAAGAAGGCCUUCGGGUUGUAAAGCCCUUUUGUUGGGAAAGAAAUCCAGCUGGCUAAUACCCGGUUGGGAUGACGGUACCCAAAGAAUAAGCACCGGCUAACUUCGUGCCAGCCGCCGCCGUAA
rnacentral:rRNA from 1 species